GCACACUGCACAAAUGCUAAUUAUAAGCAUCCUGUUAUUAAUAUGUAAAUACCUCUUUACUAUAUUUCUGGAACACCAGCAGUCGCAGUUGCCAUACUGUAUCUCAAACAAGGAUUGCUUCUCAGAAUGAUGGCUGAAUUCACUGAACUAAAACACCAUUGCUAUUCCCAAGACUUUAGGGUUAAGAAUCUUGGACAGUCCCCAUCAGUAUCUGAAGAGACAUAAAGAAUAUGACCUUUGGCUGAGAAGGAACAGAACAAAAAGAGGGAAUUGUUACCUAAUAUGAAUAAGAAGAUAGAAUAGAGCAACUAGCUGUGCCUGGUGAUUUUAAGCCACCUGACUCAGAUGAACUACAUCCUUAGAUACUGAAAGAACUAGAAGAUAAGAAUUAC
rnacentral:lncRNA from 1 species